AGUGAACGCUGGCGGCGUGCCUAAUACAUGCAAGUCGAACGGAGUGGCGCACGGGUGAGUAAUGUAUAGCUAAUCUGCCCUACACUAGAGGACAACAGUUGGAAACGACUGCUAAUACUCUAUAGUGUAGGAUGAGGCUAUAUUGUAUCAACUAGUUGGUGAGGCAAUGGAUCACAAAGGCUAUGACGCAUACCGGGUCUGAUAGGAUGAUCAGUUACACUGGAACUGGUACACGGUCCAGACUCCUACGGGAGGCAGCAGUAGGGAAUAUUGCUCAAUGGGGGAAACCCUGAAGAAGCAACGCCGCGUGGAGGAUGACACUUUUCGGAGCGUAAACUCCUUUUGUUAGGGAAGCGGUACCUAACGAAUAAGCACCGGCUAACUCCGUGCCAGCCGCCGCGGUAAUUC
rnacentral:rRNA from 1 species